UGUCACGGCAACCAUAGCCAAAAGGGUCUACAGCACAGAUGUGGGAGAAGACCUUCUCGGCAUGUGCAAGAGAAAUGUAACAUUAAAUGGACACAUGCUUGAGCCUGCAGGCGAUGAUGUCAGAGUGAGACAGUUGGAUUGGCUCUAGCAGGACCUUUGUACAG